rnacentral:rRNA from 1 species
AUGGGCGCAGCCUGAUGCAGCAACGCCGCGUGAGGGACGACGGCCUUCGGGUUGUAAACCUCUUUUAGCAGGGAAGAAGCGAAAGUGACGGUACCUGCAGAAAAAGCGCCGGCUAACUACGUGCCAGCAGCCGCGGUAAUACGUAGGGCGCAAGCGUUAUCCGGAAUUAUUGGGCGUAAAGAGCUCGUAGGCGGUUUGUCGCGUCUGCUGUGAAAUCCGGAGGCUCAACCUCCGGCCUGCAGUGGGUACGGGCAGACUAGAGUGCGGUAGGGGAGAUUGGAAUUCCUGGUGUAGCGGUGGAAUGCGCAGAUAUCAGGAGGAACACCGAUGGCGAAGGCAGAUCUCUGGGCCGUAACUGACGCUGAGGAGCGAAAGGGUGGGGAGCAAACAGGAUUAGAUACCCUG